UACGUAGGGGGCAAGCGUUGUCCGGAUUUAUUGGGCGUAAAGAGCGUGUAGGCGGCCAGUUAGGUCCGUUGUGAAAACUCGAGGCUCAACCUCGAGACGCCGAUGGAAACCAACUGGCUAGAGUCCGGAAGAGGAGAGUGGAAUUCCCGGUGUAGCGGUGAAAUGCGCAGAUAUCGGGAAGAACACCCGUGGCGAAGGCGGCUCUCUAGUACGGUACUGACGCUGAGACGCGAAAGCGUGGGGAGCGAACAGG
rnacentral:rRNA from 1 species